GACGAACGCUGGCGGCGCGCCUAACACAUGCAAGUCGAACGGAGCUUAGAGAGCUUGCUUUUUAAGCUUAGUGGCGAACGGGUGAGUAACGCGUGAGUAACCUGCCCUAGAGUGGGGGACAACAGUUGGAAACGACUGCUAAUACCGCAUAAGCCCACGGUACCGCAUGGCACUGAGGGAAAAGGAUUUAUUCGCUUUAGGAUGGACUCGCGUCCAAUUAGCUAGUUGGUGAGGUAACGGCCCACCAAGGCGACGAUUGGUAGCCGGACUGAGAGGUUGAACGGCCACAUUGGGACUGAGACACGGCCCAGACUCCUACGGGAGGCAGCAGUGGGGGAUAUUGCACAAUGGGGGAAACCCUGAUGCAGCGACGCCGCGUGGAGGAAGAAGGUUUUCGGAUUGUAAACUCCUGUCGUUAGGGACGAUAAUGACGGUACCUAACAAGAAAGCACCGGCUAACUACGUGCCAGCAGCCGCGGUAAAACGUAGGGUGCAAGCGUUGUCCGGAAUUACUGGGUGUAAAGGGAGCGCAGGCGGGAAGACAAGUUGGAAGUGAAAACCAUGGGCUCAACCCAUGAAUUGCUUUCAAAACUGUUUUUCUUGAGUAGUGCAGAGGUAGAUGGAAUUCCCGGUGUAGCGGUGGAAUGCGUAGAUAUCGGGAGGAACACCAGUGGCGAAGGCGGUCUACUGGGCACCAACUGACGCUGAGGCUCGAAAGCAUGGGUAGCAAACAGGAUUAGAUACCCUGGUAGUCCAUGCCGUAAACGAUGAUUACUAGGUGUUGGGGGAUUGACCCCCCCCGUGCCGCAGAUAACACAAUUAGUUAAUCCACCUGGGGAGUACGACCGCAAGGUUGAAAAUCAAAGGAAUUGACGCGGGCCCGCACAAGCAGUGGAGUAUGUGGUUUAAUUCGAAGCAACGCGAAGAACCUUACCAGGUCUUGACAUCCGAUGCAUAGCACAGAGAUGUGUGAAAUCCUUCGGGACAUCGAGACAGGUGGUGCAUGGUUGUCGUCAGCUCGUGUCGUGAGAUGUUGGGUUAAGUCCCGCAACGAGCGCAACCCUUAUUGCCAGUUACUACGUUAAGAGGACUCUGGCGAGACUGCCGUUGACAAAACGGAGGAAGGUGGGGAGGACGUCAAAUCAUCAUGCCCUUUAUGACCUGGGCUACACACGUACUACAAUGGCGUUAAACAAAGAGAAGCAAGACCGCGAGGUGGAGCAAAACUCAAAAACAACGUCUCAGUUCAGAUUGCAGGCUGCAACUCGCCUGCAUGAAGUCGGAAUUGCUAGUAAUCGCGGAUCAGCAUGCCGCGGUGAAUACGUUCCCGGGCCUUGCAC
rnacentral:rRNA from 1 species